AACCCCACCCCCCCCAGUGCUAAAAGGCAGCGUGGAGCCCCAGCACUGUUAACUGCCUUAACUCCCUUCCAGGCCCGAGGACAGGCGCUUUCCUCGGUCUGAGGUGUGACAAUAACAAUGACAUGGGCAUCGCACACGUGAAAGCGCUGGACAAUAAACUGUGCUCUGAGGCCUGCUUACCUGGCUCCUCCGUCUGUGUGAAAGUUCAUGUUCGCUCUGUGCCAACACGGUUUUCUCCACCCACGCUUGUGUCCCCUCCCUGCCCAGAGUUGCACAAAGGUGACAAAUGUAUUGGUGACCCCUGGCCCCUGCACGGGCCAAAGGGAGCAGUGGGCUGGGGACCCUUCCUCAGCCUGUGUGUGGAGAAAUGGGGCAAAAAACCAAGACAAAGCCCUCCGAGGGGUCUCCAUCAAUACAUUUGUGGACAAGCUGAAAGCAACUCUGCCCUUGCCUUGCCCCUUUGCCUAACUUUGUGGCAGGUCCGAGACCUGCAGCAGGUGCUGGAGAGCCGAGAGGGUGGGUGAAACCCACUGGAGGGAAGGGAAAUCCUCUUUUCCCCACUACUCCUUUGGGAAAGCCUCCUCUCCUGCUGCUUUGCCUGUUCCUGGUGGUUUCUGUGCCAGAGAAACACAGCUGAGGCUCU
rnacentral:lncRNA from 1 species